rnacentral:rRNA from 1 species
CAGUCGCCGCGGUAAUACGAAGGGGGCUAGCGUUGUUCGGAUUUACUGGGCGUAAAGGGUGCGUAGGCGGGGUUUUAAGUCAGGGGUGAAAUGCCGAGGUUCAACUUCGGAACUGCCUUUGAUACUGGAACUCUUGAGUCCGGGAGAGGUGAGUGGAACUGCGAGUGUAGAGGUGAAAUGCGUAGAGAUGUGGAGGAACACCAGUGGCGAAGGCGACUCUCUGGUCUGUAACUGACGCUGAGGAGCGAAAGCGUGGGGAGCGAACAGGAUUAGAUACCCGCGUAGUCCCUGUCUCUUAUAC